rnacentral:rRNA from 1 species
CGACCGGCGCACGGGUGAGUAACACGUAUCCAACCUGCCGAUGACUCGGGGAUAGCCUUUCGAAAGAAAGAUUAAUACCCGAUGGCAUAGUUCUUCCGCAUGGUAGAACUAUUAAAGAAUUUCGGUCAUCGAUGGGGAUGCGUUCCAUUAGCUUGUUGGCGGGGUAACGGCCCACCAAGGCAUCGAUGGAUAGGGGUUCUGAGAGGAAGGUCCCCCACAUUGGAACUGAGACACAGUCCAAACUCCUACGGAAGGCAGCAG